rnacentral:rRNA from 1 species
GUGGGGAAUCUUGCGCAAUGGGCGAAAGCCUGACGCAGCCAUGCCGCGUGAAUGAUGAAGGUCUUAGGAUUGUAAAAUUCUUUCACCGGGGACGAUAAUGACGGUACCCGGAGAAGAAGCUCCGGCUAACUUCGUGCCAGCAGCCGCGGUAAUACGAAGGGGGCUAGCGUUGCUCGGAAUUACUGGUCGUAAAGGGCGCGUAGGCGGACAGCUUAGUCAGAGGUGAAAGCCCAGGGCUCAACCUUGGAAUUGCCUUUGAUACUGGCUGUCUUGAGUUUGGGAGAGGUGAGUGGAACUCCGAGUGUAGAGGUGAAAUUCGUAGAUAUUCGGAAGAACACCAGUGGCGAAGGCGACUCACUGGCCCAAUACUGACGCUGAGGCGCGAAAGCGUGGGGAGCAAACAGGAUUAGAUACCCUGGUAGUCC